GUUAGUUUGGCAGAUUAGUGCACCGAAUUUAGAAUUCGAUUAAGUAUUUUAUACAUCUAAUA
rnacentral:tRNA from 1 species